CCUACGGGUGGCAGCAGUGGGGAAUAUUGCACAAUGGGGGGAACCCUGAUGCAGCAACGCCGCGUGGGUGAAGAAGUACUUCGGUAUGUAAAGCCCUGUCAGCAGGGAAGAAAAUGACGGUACCUGACCAAGAAGCACCGGCUAACUACGUGCCAGCAGCCGCGGUAAUACGUAGGGGGCAAGCGUUAUCCGGAUUUAUUGGGUUUAAAGGGUGCGUAGGCGGAGCGUUAAGUCAGUGGUCAAAUUGAGGGGCUCAACCCCUUCCCGCCAUUGAAACUGGCGCUCUUGAGUGGAAGAGAAGUAUGUGGAAUGCGUGGUGUAGCGGUGAAAUGCAUAGAUAUCACGCAGAACCCCGAUUGCGAAGGCAGCAUGCCGGCUUCCUACUGACGCUGAAGCACGAAAGCGUGGGGAUCGAACAGGAUUAGAUACCCGUGUAGUC
rnacentral:rRNA from 1 species